rnacentral:lncRNA from 1 species
AGCGGUCCCCGUGCACAAGGAGCUGGCAUACUGAUACCACGUGACUACCCUGCAGGUCGGGGUGGGCGUGGGUAGGUCCCUUCGUUCCGGGGGGGGGGCAGGUGUUGUUUUCCUAAGCCUAAUCUUGGGCCCUGGUUGCCGGGGCUGACUCUGCAGUGGCCCUAUGCUGUGAGAGGUGGUGACCGGUCUUUUUAUAAUCCUGAAGGUGGUCCCAAUGUUUCUUCCCCACUUUGCAUGUUUCCUGAUACCCCAAGUUCGUCCAUACAACCAGGUCCCGGACGUCGGUUGGAGGACCGUAAAGUUGAGGAGCGGUGGUCUCGGCAGGAGCGGUGGUCUCGGCAGGAGCGGUGGUCUCGACAGGAGCGGUGGUCUCGGCAGGAGCGGUGGUCUUGACAGGAGCCAUCCAGAAGACGCAAUCUCCCGAGUCAUCCCAGGCCAAGCAGGAAGCAUUGGGGAAGGGGGUCCAGGGG